AACUGCAGUAUCUUACUUGAAGCCGUGAAAAUCAAGUUCGCCGACGUGUUGGGCACCACACUGGAUGAGGCAGCAGGAGUGAUGAAGGGUCCCAAGAAGUACAUUUGCUUGCGUCCAGACUCAAAGGUACGUCAACUCAGCGUGGCCACGGCACGCUGGUGCCCAAACACUUCGAAGGGAUGGCCACUAAGCUCAUUAGUGAGUUAAUGACAUCCGGCGUGCUUGUGCCGGAAACAGGGCCCACAGAAUGGUGUUCACCGGCACACUUUGUCCCCAAACCUGGGGGGCAGAAACUCAAUGAGGCUGUGAUCCGCACGGUGCACCCGUUUCCGGCCACUGCGGAUCUCAUCAAGUGGAUUGACCCCACCUCCAGGUACCGCUACUUAGGGGCCUGCCUGGCUGCUGAAGAUUGUGGACGACAUGCUGGUCCAAGCCCCCAAUCAGAAGACUCUCUUUGUACAUCUGGAAGAGGUUCUCAUGAGGUGUCAUUAAGAUCUCCUUGAGCAAGCUAGAGAUGUUUCCCACAUGUUGGUGCUAAUGCGGGGGCUCCUAAAAAAAGACGUGGUAUACCAAUGGCUCCCCUGUCUCCAAGCCGAAUUUGAGGUGUUGAAGAAGACUCUCACAUCUGACAUGGUGGUCAGGGCAUUUGACCCAGCGUUACCCAUAAAACUGCUCAUAGAUGCGUCGCGAUUGUUUGGCAUUGGUUUUGCCCUGGUUCAAUUUGAGCCCGCUGGCCACAUACGUUUAAUCAGCUGCGGCUCUCGCAGCUUGACAAAGUGCCAACAAAACUAUGCGACCAUUGAACUCAAGUGUUUAGCUGUUGUGUGGGCAGUGGAGAAAUCGGCGUAUUACCUAAGAGGUAUGCAAAAGUUUGAAAUAGUGACGGACCAUAAACCACUCCUUGAAGUAUUUAACAUAGUGCUCCAAGAGCUCUCACAUGAGUGCCUCCUGCGGUUCCGGGAACGAUUGGUGGACUAUAAUUUUACAUUGUCCUGGACCGCGGGAAAGGAGCAUCUUAUUGCCGAUGCCUUAUCCCGAGCCCCAGUAUUUCCCAGCAAGGACGAGCCGGAUGCUACCGUGUUAGCCCUCAGUGUACGUAUUUUUGGGGCGGACCUGGCUCUCAGGUCUGUUGUCCGUGCGGCCGCCUCUGACCCGGAUUAUGAAGCCCUAGUGCAGUGUUUUCUUUCAGGAGGAGACCCAGCUACCAACCCCUCCUCAUGGGCCUACGCUUGUGUUAGGCCGGAGGUGAGCCUCCACCAAAAGGGGGGGGGGGCGCUUACUCGUCCUUCAGAGGACUCAGCUCAUAAUCCCCCAGUCGGCCCAGGCAGGCUUACUCCGGCUCCUCCACGCAUCCCAUUGUGGCAUGGUGAAAACAUACCAACACGCUUGGCAGCUGUACUACUGGCCUGAUAUGAAAAAUGCCAUAUCUCAGUUGGUGCAGAGUUGUGGGGCGUGCCAGGAAAAACUGCCUAGCCAGCCCAUUGAGACCAUUGGCAAGCUUUCAGUCCCCACAAAGCCCAUGAGCCAUGUAGGAGUGGACCUUUUCCACUUCAGGGGUCAGAAUUGGCUUGUAAUGGUAGAUCGCUAUUCAGGAUUCCCAUUCUGUCAGCGUUUAAGGUCGACAGUCACUGCCAGCGUCACUGGAGCGCUACUCCAAUGGUUUUGUGAUUGGGGGUUUCCUCGGGUUAUCCAGUCGGAUGGAGGACCUCAGUUCUGAGGGACGUUCACGGAAUUUUGCCUUGAACAAAAUGUUCUGCAUGGGCUUUCAAGCCCCUACAAC